UACGUAGGUGGCAAGCGUUGUCCGGAUUUACUGGGUGUAAAGGGCGUGCAGCCGGAGAGACAAGUCAGAUGUGAAAUCCACGGGCUCAACCCGUGAACUGCAUUUGAAACUGUUUCCCUUGAGUGUCGGAGAGGUCAUCGGAAUUCCUUGUGUAGCGGUGAAAUGCGUAGAUAUAAGGAAGAACACCAGUGGCGAAGGCGGAUGACUGGACGAUAACUGGCGGUGAGGCGCGAAAGCGUGGGGAGCAAACAGG
rnacentral:rRNA from 1 species